CAUUUAGAGGAAGGAGAAGUCGUAACAAGGUUUCCGUAGGUGAACCUGCGGAAGGAUCAUUGUCGAAACCUGCACAGCAGAACGACCCGCGAACGCGUAAACAACAACGGCGGGGCGCUCGCGUCCCGCCACCGGGGAGAGCGCGCGUCGAGCCCUCCGGGGCGAGGCGGGUGCUUUCCCUGAAAAAACAACGAACCCCGGCGCGAACCGCGCCAAGGAGCAUGAACGAAAGAGCGCGUCCGCGAAGCCCCGUCCGCGGGUGCGAUCGCGCGGCGUUGUCUUCCUUUACGAAAUCACAACGACUCUCGACAACGGAUAUCUCGGCUCUCGCAUCGAUGAAGAACGUAGUGAAAUGCGAUACUUGGUGUGAAUUGCAGAAUCCCGUGAACCAUCGAGUCUUUGAACGCAAGUUGCGCCCGAAGCCAUCAGGCCGAGGGCACGUCUGCCUGGGCGUCUCACAUCGCGUCGCCCCCCACACCCUCCGUGGCAGAACACGCCACGCGGGUGCCGGGGGCGGACAAUGGCCCCCCGUGCGCUGCCAGCCCGCGGUCGGCCCAAAAAACGAGUGGUUGCCGGCGACAGGCGUCACGACGAUUGGUGGUUGGGUGGAAAUGCCCUUUGCGUCUUGUCGUGCGCCGGGACGUCUCCAGCGAGAAGCUCCAGCGACCCUGACGCGCCGUCUCGACGGUGCUUCGACCGCGACCCCAGGUCAGGCGGGACUACCCGCUGAGUUUAAGCAU
rnacentral:misc_RNA from 1 species